rnacentral:rRNA from 1 species
GAUGAACGCUGGCGGCGUGCCUAAUACAUGCAAGUCGAGCGAACGGACGAGAAGCUUGCUUUUCUGAUGUUAGCGGCGGACGGGUGAGUAACACGUGGAUAACCUACCUAUAAGACUGGGAUAACUUCGGGAAACCGGAGCUAAUACCGGAUAAUAUUUUGAACCGCAUGGUUCAAAAGUGAAAGACGGUCUUGCUGUCACUUAUAGAUGGAUCCGCGUUGCAUUAGCUAGUUGGUAAGGUAACGGCUUACCAAGGCAACGAUGCAUAGCCGACCUGAGAGGGUGAUCGGCCACACUGGAACUGAGACACGGUCCAGACUCCUACGGGAGGCAGCAGUAGGGAAUCUUCCGCAAUGGGCGAAAGCCUGACGGAGCAACGCCGCGUGAGUGAUGAAGGUCUUCGGAUCGUAAAACUCUGUUAUUAGGGAAGAACAUAUGUGUAAGUAACUGUGCACAUCUUGACGGUACCUAAUCAGAAAGCCACGGCUAACUACGUG